GAUGAACGCUGGCGGCGUGCCUAAUACAUGCAAGUCGAGCGAAUGGAUUAAGAGCUUGCUCUUAUGAAGUUAGCGGCGGACGGGUGAGUAACACGUGGGUAACCUGCCCAUAAGACUGGGAUAACUCCGGGAAACCGGGGCUAAUACCGGAUAACAUUUUGAACCGCAUGGUUCGAAAUUGAAAGGCGGCUUCGGCUGUCACUUAUGGAUGGACCCGCGUCGCAUUAGCUAGUUGGUGAGGUAACGGCUCACCAAGGCAACGAUGCGUAGCCGACCUGAGCGGGGGAUCGGCCACACUGGGACUGAGACACGGCCCAAACCCCUACGGGAGGCAGCAGUAGGGAAUCUUCCGCAAGGGACGAAAGUCUGACGAAGCAACGCCGCGUGAGUGAUGAAGGCUUUCGGGUCAUAAAACUCUGUUGUUAGGGAAGAACAAGUGCUAGUUGAAUAAGCUGGCACCUUGACGGUACCUAACCAGAAAGCCACGGCUAACUACGUGCCAGCAGCCGCCGUAA
rnacentral:rRNA from 1 species